rnacentral:rRNA from 1 species
UACGUAGGGUGCAAGCGUUGUCCGGAAUUAUUGGGCGUAAAGAGCUCGUAGGCGGUUUGUCGCGUCUGCUGUGAAAACCCGAGGCUCAACCUCGGGCCUGCAGUGGGUACGGGCAGACUAGAGUGUGGUAGGGGAGAUUGGAAUUCCUGGUGUAGCGGUGGAAUGCGCAGAUAUCAGGAGGAACACCAAUGGCGAAGGCAGAUCUCUGGGCCGUAACUGACGCUGAGGAGCGAAAGCAUGGGGAGCGAACAGG